rnacentral:tRNA from 2 species
GCCGGUGUAGCUCAGUGGCAGAGCAGCUGAUUCGUAAUCAGCAGGUCGUGGGUUCAAGUCCCACCGCCGGCUCCA